rnacentral:lncRNA from 1 species
UCCUUUCUUUCAUUCCCGAACUCCCUACUAAGGUCUGCUACUAGUGGAAUGAUGCUUAGUUUACAUAACACCCGCACCACUGAUCUCGAGUUCAAUAGAAAACAACUUGAAGCUUUUGAGCCUAGUUUAGCUAAUCAAAUACUAGAUAAUAGAAUCGAAAAUAACUUCAAAUACGAAUAUCAAUAUCUGACGAUAAAACACAUCCUACAUAUAAUGAGAAAUAUAAGUAAAUGGAAACCAUAUGAGAAAUAGAAGUCAAUAAAUUGCACCAACCAAAGAAUAAGAGACAGGAACGAUAGGCCUUAAGACAGGAGAGGAGCGACAGGUUCCAAGGGAAAUUCCAGAACUCCACUAAGCAAUAGAAGAGACAACCAGACAAGCAACGGCUGACGCGCUUAACUCCACUCCUGGUGUUCUAGAGUUAUGAGCAAGUCAAGGUGCUAGGAGCCUUCUGGUAUAUGUAUCAUUUCCAUGAGGUAUUUUCUACUUCGCCCUAGGAUCUUUUAUGCAGUGAUUGAUUGAGAAAAGCAUAUCUCUAGGUACCUUAAUCAGAGCAAGUCUGUAGCUUUGAAGCAGGAAUCUGCCGGUACCCCUUGAAUGAGCAGUGGCAUUCCUUUAGCAAGUAAUCCCGUCGAUCUGUCUAGUUUAACUAAGCCUCAUCUCUUUACUUAACUCCGCGAUGGAAUAGGUUGUUCCAGGCUUUAUUCCGUUUCGCCAAGCUCGUCCAAGCAAUAAGUCCGAGGCAUAUGCCAGAACAGGUUUCACGAAUGAAUGCCCAGUUGGUAGUUAGAAGGAAUCCCAACAAAUAAGCAGCCCUUGGCGAAUAUACUCUUCCAUGGAUUUUUCCAUUUCCGUCGUUGGGGCCUAGAGACGAUACAAUCUUGUCUUUCCUAAGCUUGAAUGAAUGUGGCGAAAAGCAAGGGACUGCAGGAAAGAAGAGAAUGAAUCGGAAGAUAGUUCCUCUGCUCUGUACUGGAAUGAGUCUGAGUGAUAAUAAGGUCUUUGCGGCGAAGACGGAUUAAUAGAUAUUCUCUUGACAGAAUAGAAUUCCACUGUCCGAGAAAGCAAGCAAGAGUUUGUUUGAUGAGAUCCCGAAUCUACUGCCUAAGUAAAGUACGGAGCAGGAAAGGGUUGUUGGGUCUAUACUCUUAUAUAUAUAUAUAUGAUUCUAUAUGAUACAUGCGCAGCUAGGAGAGCCCAGAUUAUGGACUUGAAGACGGAAGCGCUAACGCCCUUUUACAGCUACCCUUGGGCAUACUGAGAGGACUGAUAGCAAGGGACGAUAAGCAGGCCAAAGUAGCAAGAAAGAGCAUUUUCAGGAGCAGCUUUCGUUUUACUGACCUAUGGGUUUUCGAUUGAUACCUCGACACUUUCUCUCUUAAGUCAGGCGAGAUGUUAUUAAUACAUGGUUUUUCAUCAGCGGAUGUCACUAUUUAAAGGGAUCUGCACUUAUGGUCUUUGAAAGGGGGCGGCUCAAUACAGAAUGAUAUGAUCCUAUUCUAGGCUUGCUUUCUCAUAGCACGAUGGUUUUUAGCGAGUAAGGGUACGGGAUCAAAAUACUAGAAGUGGUUGGAGUGAACCAACCGUCGAUGCCAUAUGGUGGGGCUUUUUCGAGCAGCAACCAGCCAGAGCGGAGACUGAUUCAUAAAUGACGGGUAUUGUUUGAUCUCCUCAUGAAAUGCAGGCAUGAAGACGUUUUCAAUCCACCGUUGAAAAAAGAUAAGCCUGUUCGUUCCCUUUUGGAAUAAGGUAAGCUCCGCCUUAAUUGACUCCUUCCUUUGGAAUGUGGUGUGCUUUCUGCAUACUGGUCUAUCUUAGCAGGGGGAAUGGGAUGGGAAGCUAUAUGGGCGAGAUGGUUGGAGGUAAGCAAAAGUGGAAUGACGGGGAGGCCUGGAAAGCUAGGUAGGGUUUGGGACGAACUGUGGGCUAAAGCAAUAUUCCAUAUGGGUUUCAAUGGCGAGAGCUGAGAUGACGAUGAUGUUUGUGAAGAAGCAGACCUUAUGGUGCCUAAGAAUCCAAGACCAUAUAACCCAGCCGUCGUGAUUGAUCCGGUUAACGGAGGAGCAGGAAAAGCGCCUAAUAAUGGGGCAGAGGUAGUGUCUUUCUAUCUUGUGGCUGAACGAAGACGUCGCUAGUUACUAUCUCGAUUUUUCAUAUAUAUAUUUAUAGAAAUCACUAUUUACUGGACUCUUUCACUAUGGACUUCUAUCUUUCUAGCAAUAACUAUAUGGACUUCUAUCUUUCUAGCAAUAACUAUUGACUUACUUUACUGGGCAGAUUUCUAGAAGGACCAGAUGGAAAGGUUAGUUAGUAUAAGACAGAAUACUAGUGGACUUGCUUGCCAGCGCUUGGAUUCUUUCACUCUAAGAGCUGAUUGAAGGAAGACAUCCGAUUCGAUGGCUUUAAACCCAAGCGUGCUACAGGAUUCAAGCGAAAUGGCGUUUUCUUUCCUUGUCGGGGGCUUACUUUAUAGAGAAAGGAAUAACUAGAUAGCUGACUAGACCGGAGACUGAAAGACUUAGAUGGCACUGAAAAUGGCAUAUUUGUGCUUUGGAAACAAAAGACCGAGCAUUUCGAGACACUAACUUCGCUCGCCUUGUUGAGCUAAUCGAGAUAGGGGCACUUUCUCCAAGCAAAGGAUCUUACAGGCAAGGGGCACUUGAGGACGAGAACUUCUUGGCCGGAUACUGGGUUUCUGUAUAUGUCAAUCGAUAAGCUUUGUCCUAAGGAACUGACAACCUGCACAAACUUGUACUUAUAACCGAGGAAGUGCUUUCACCAAUGACUUGUCCAUCAUCAGCUCGAGUUUAUCGCUUGUAUACCGCAUGAAAUGGGCUUUACCUCUUCUGGUUUGCAUGAAAUGGGCUUUACCUCUUUUUGCUUAGGUCCCAUGUCUGGUUCUGUUUCUCCUUUAGUGCUAAGAUCUUUUCUGGUUCUGUUUCUCCUUGACUUUAGUGCUAAGAGAUUUCCUCAUUCAUGGCCUUUUGCCAGAAUUAUGAAUGGCAAGAAGUGUUGCCAGCGUAUCCAAUUGGAGAGUGUAACACUCCCGGAUGUGCUCCAGCAGUUCCUUCUUGACUGUUGUUUUCAGCACUUUGACUUGUUCAUAACUCGAAUCUUGUGUUAUCACUGAGUCUUGCCCGAACUCACAUACUAAAGCCUAUAGUAGCUAACUCCAGUAAGCGUAAGCACAAGGGCCAGGCCAACACUCACAAAACCCGAGCCGAGUUGCUCUUCUUGAAAAGAAUGAAGCUAUUAUUAAGGAAAAGAAUGAAGCUAUUAUUAAGAAAUCAUUAAGCUAUUAUUAAGUAUAGAAUCUUUUGUAAAAACACACUCACUCUGGAACUCCACUCGUUAAAGGAAGGGCUUCUGGCUGGGGAUAUACCUUGACCUGUUGUUUCCGCUGUUCCCUUACUUGCUGUUACUGAUGGUAAUCUACCUGUAAGUAUAAGCCAAAGAUUGCUCAAGUGGAAAGAAAGAGAGGAUGGUGGCUUAGAAGAAAGAAGAAGAGAUAUCGAUCGGAUAACGGCAUCCAGAGAUCGAGCAUAUGCCAUAUAGUGGCCUUGAAGGGUUUGAAACGGAUGAUGUGUAAGUACGAUGGCGGCGUUGAUAGAUGAAGAAAGCAGAUGGAGAUGAGCAAGCACAGAUGUUCUAUUGCACAGAUGUUCUAUUGAGUUUUCCUUCUUUCUAUGGCAAUGCGUAUGGCAAUGCGUGUUAUUAAGCAAGCUAGCUUACUCCGUCCAAUGCUAGGAGAGAGGGUUUAAAGGGGGGGUCAGCUCUCAGGGUAGCCACUAAGGUAUCAAGCUUGUUCUUUAAAGAGGUUUUACAGGCGAAAAGACCCAUAUGGUUACACACGGGAGAGAAUCUGUUAAAUAGCAGUUUACUUAGGGGAAAGCGGGAGUAGACAAAGGAACCUUGAUUGGAGGGUUUAAGAGCUCGGUAGUAAGGUAUAGCUUUUGGUUAAGAAGGAGCUGCCCUUUGAGUUUUAGGGGGGAGAAGGCUAAAUGAAAGGCUCGACCGUAUAACAAGAAAAAGGUACCUCCAGCCGCAAGUAUCCCACCGGUCUGGAUCAUAGUAUAAUUCGAUUUAGGAUGGGCUAUCAUCAAGCGAGUCCAGGUAUGGUUGCACCUAUGCGCUAUUGGCUAGAAAGGGUUUGCUCCUUAAUGCACGGAUCAAUGACUGCUAUUGCAAUUGAUGGCUUAGCCCAGUGGUUCCAUUAACCCUAAACGUUACCCUGCCUUAGAAGAAAUUCAAGGAACAGGUUCUAUAGGGCAUAUAAAGACGCUGAUCUAUAUCUCCCUUACAAGUUCCAUAGUCAGAGCAUCACAUUAUUAGUAUGGCAGUAGAUUCCCGAUCCGCAUUGAAUCUAUUAGCAUCCACUCCCAGCUGGCCCGCCUCACUCACAGCAGGAUGAGCUAACUAUCCGGAGGGACAUAAGUCGUAGAGAUCAAAGUAGGACUGACACUAUAUGACUCAAAACUAGCAUUUCAAGUAGAUCCCUAUUCCGCAGUGCUUUCUUUCACAGAAUCAAAGGAUUGGCCAUUUGUGCCUUUAUUUGGAAAAGAACGUCGGCUGGAAAGGGCUUAGGAUAAGAAGCAAGAAGGAAUCCCACCCUAGGAGCAACGCUUAUGACUCCAAUACCAGGUAGUCUUGCUAGCCUUCCCGGAGAGCUAACUUACAUCAGAGGCUGGAUCGCUCGAGAGCUAACUUACAUCAGAGGCUGGAUCGCUCACUGGGGAAGAUCUUUCCAGAUAGGGCAUUAUCAAAUCGAUUAGCAUUCCAUUCCA